rnacentral:lncRNA from 11 species
AUCUAACCACACUCAAGAUGGCUGCCUGGCAUUCCUCAACAAAAUGGAUGCCUGCCUCACUCACUGUUACCAAGGCUUCAUUCCCGGCUAAUAGGACUUCACAGCAUCUUCCCUCAGCUUGGAAAAAGUUGAGCUUGGGCUAGAGAAACUGAGACAAUGGAAAAAGGAGGCUGAUGGAGAGAGCUAAAGGAACAGGAAAUUGGAUGAAAGAAAAAGAGGGGAAACACAGAAAAGAGAAGACGGGAGCCAUAAAGAGAAUGGGAAAAUAAAACAAUAAAAACUACUCCCCAGAAGGCAUCGACUAUUAGUCUGCCUGCCUGUUAGCUUGUAGCUUCGGUGGAAUCUCUUUGUACACAACCACUAAUGCACACAUACCUAGGGUGCUCGAAGAUAGGCCUCUGUAGUAGAGGUGCUGAAUUAUUUUUUAAUGCUAGAUGAUCUGUAUCACUAGUGGUCAAUGUCUGGGGCAAAAGAAGUCACAGUCAUGUGGCAUGCCCUCCUAAUGCUAGCAGCUACACAACUUGUGUGGGACCCCACCCCUCCUUGACCUUUGCUUUUACCAUAAUUCUGUUUGGUCAAGCAGGACAGUGGCCAAACUGUACAGCCAAAUUUGAUUUUUCUCAUGUUUAAUGAGUACUGACUAUACCAUUUUGCGAGCUUACUUACUCUGUUGUUUUUUCUUUUUUCUGUUUUUUUUUUCUUUUUUACUGUCCGUUUUAUUUUUAUAUACACUAUAAAAU